GAUGAACGCUGGCGGCGUGCCUAAUACAUGCAAGUCGAGCGAACAGAUGAGGAGCUUGCUCCUCUGACGUUAGCGGCGGACGGGUGAGUAACACGUGGAUAACCUACCUAUAAGACUGGGAUAACUUCGGGAAACCGGAGCUAAUACCGGAUAAUAAAUUGAACCGCAUGGUUCAAUAGUGAAAGACGGUUUUGCUGUCACUUAUAGAUGGAUCCGCGCCGCAUUAGCUAGUUGGUAAGGUAACGGCUUACCAAGGCGACGAUGCGUAGCCGACCUGAGAGGGUGAUCGGCCACACUGGAACUGAGACACGGUCCAGACUCCUACGGGAGGCAGCAGUAGGGAAUCUUCCGCAAUGGGCGAAAGCCUGACGGAGCAACGCCGCGUGAGUGAUGAAGGUCUUCGGAUCGUAAAACUCUGUUAUUAGGGAAGAACAAAUGUGUAAGUAACUAUGCACGUCUUGACGGUACCUAAUCAGAAAGCCACGGCUAACUACGUG
rnacentral:rRNA from 1 species